CACCUACGUGGAGUACCUGGGUCCCACCCGCAUCGCCACCGCCGCCACCAAGGCCAGGCCGCGGCCCUUGCCCCUGCCACCCGCCGGGACCCCCGCGCCCUGGGGACUCCCCGGGCAGGCAGAGCUCGCCGAGCACCCCGCUCUCCCCGAGCAGGCGCUGCCGACCGUGGCCAGGCUCAUCGAGGCUCUGGAAAAACAAGGUAGGGAGAAGCAGGGCCCCGAGCCGCCGGGCACAGCCGGGGGCACACACAGCCACCCUCUGCCCGCUUCAGAGCGCCCCAAGAGCAUGGCCGGAGCCAGAGCUGUCCCCAUGCCCCCGGUCCCCGCGGGCUGCCCCCGGCUCGGGAAGGAGGAGGUGGGCUCAGCACUAACCCCGCUCUCCCCUCUGUGUCCCAGGGCUCGACAGCGAGGUGCUCUACAGGCCGGGCCCCGGCGUGCUGGGGGAUGCCGAGCUGAAACAGGCCCUCCUGGCUGGUGAGUCCCGCAUCCCCGCCGUGCUCCCAGCAGGGAGGGGGCUGUGGAGGUGAUGCUGCCCUGGCAGGGAGGGGUUACGGCACCAACAUCAUCACAGCCCUAAUCCCAGCUCGCCUGCAUGCGGACCCCCCUCUUCUCCCCGUGUGAUGCAGCUGAAAGUGAUGCAGGUGCAGGGCAGGGGCGCUUCAGUAGAUAUUUUAUUUUUAUUUUUAUUUUUUUGGGGGGGGUAGGGU
rnacentral:lncRNA from 1 species